CAACCCUUGACAUGGAUAUCGUGGCUCUGGAGACAGAGCUUUCAGUUCGGCUGGAUAUCACACAGGUGCUGCAUGGCUGUCGUCAGCUCGUGUCGUGAGAUGUUCGGUUAAGUCCGGCAACGAGCGCAACCCACAUUUUUAGUUGCCAGCAUUCAGUUGGGCACUCUAGAGAAACUGCCGGUGAUAAGCCGGAGGAAGGUGUGGAUGACGUCAAGUCCUCAUGGCCCUUACGGGUUGGGCUACACACGUGCUACAAUGGUGGUGACAAUGGGUUAAUCCCCAAAAGCCAUCUCAGUUCGGAUUGGGGUCUGCAACUCGACCCCAUGAAGUCGGAAUCGCUAGUAAUCGCGUAACAGCAUGACGCGGUGAAUACGUUCCCGGGUCUUGUACACACCG
rnacentral:rRNA from 1 species